CCACCUAAAAGAAACCAUUGCACUGCAGUUGUUAGAAUUAAAUUCGUAUUACAACAACUGAAGUUAAAAUUACCCUUUAAAGAAAAUCUUACCCAUUUGCAAUGUUUCAGAGACAAUUCUUUCCCAUUUCUAAUCUAAAAGUUAUCAGUCUAAUGCUGUGUUUGAAUUUCAUUUAAUAUUAAACUCAUGCUUUAGUUAUAAAAUCUCUGAACAUGUCAUUCUAGGGAACCCCAUCUAACUUGAAAAUCAUUGAGUUGUAUUUCUUUUCCGAAGUACUUCAGAAAUUCUACUCAGGAGAAAAUAUUCAAGAAUCCCUAGGAGUCUGUGAAGACAGAACAGUCAUGACAGCCCAUUUUGCAUAAAAUCUUCAAUACAACUACGAAGAAAAUAAUUCCUGCUCAAAAUAGAAAACUAGAACGAUCCAGAAUCUUUCUUAGGGUUUUUAACUAAUGAAUGCACUAAUUGUGGAACUACUUUAGAAAACACAGGAUGACAAUGGUCCCAAGCUUUGCAGCAUCCUUGACCUCUCUGAAGACAUGAUCUACUUGUCGCGUCAGCAUGUCGUGCUUCAGGCGCUCCAGGAGGUUGAUCAUGUCAUCAAAGACAGAGCUCUCCAUGGACGCCAGCUGUCCCAGCUGGAGCUGGCUCACCGUGUCACUUUCUGCACAAACCUCUAGCUCGGCCUGCUGCAGCUGCAAGAAGAACUAGGCAAAAAAA